rnacentral:rRNA from 1 species
AGAGUUUGAUCCUGGCUCAGAUUGAACGCUGGCGGCAUGCCUUACACAUGCAAGUCGAACGGCAGCGCGGGGCAACCUGGCGGCGAGUGGCGAACGGGUGAGUAAUAUAUCGGAACGUGCCCUGGAGUGGGGGAUAACGCAGCGAAAGUUGCGCUAAUACCGCAUACGAUCUAAGGAUGAAAGCAGGGGACCGCAAGGCCUUGUGCUCCUGGAGCGGCCGAUAUCUGAUUAGCUAGUUGGUGGGGUAAAGGCCUACCAAGGCAUCGAUCAGUAGCUGGUCUGAGAGGACGACCAGCCACACUGGAACUGAGACACGGUCCAGACUCCUACGGGAGGCAGCAGUGGGGAAUUUUGGACAAUGGGCGAAAGCCUGAUCCAGCAAUGCCGCGUGAGUGAAGAAGGCCUUCGGGUUGUAAAGGACUUUUGUCCGGGAGCAAAGCCUACUUGUUA